CUACGGGUGGCUGCAGUGGGGAAUAUUGCGCAAUGGGCGAAAGCCUGACGCAGCGACGCCGCGUGGGUGAUGAAGGCCUUCGGGUUGUAAAGCCCUGUCUGGUGGAACGAACGACUUGGCGGCAAAUAACCGCCGGGUGUGACGGUACCACCGAAGGAAGCCCCGGCUAACUACGUGCCAGCAGCCGCGGUAAGACGUAGGGGGCGAGCGUUGUUCGGAUUUACUGGGCGUAAAGCGCGCGUAGGCGGCUAGAUCAGUCGGGUGUGAAAUCCCUCGGCUUAACCGAGGUCCCGCAUCCGAUACUGUCCGGCUUGAGUCUAGGAGAGGAAAGCGGAAUUCCCAGUGUAGCGGUGAAAUGCGUAGAUAUUGGGAGGAACACCGGUGGCGAAGGCGGCUUUCCGGACUAGCACUGACGCUGAGGCGCGAAAGCUAGGGGAGCGAACGGGAUUAGAUACCCUGGUAGUC
rnacentral:rRNA from 1 species